rnacentral:rRNA from 1 species
AUUGAACGCUGGCGGCAGGCCUAACACAUGCAAGUCGAACGAGUGGCGGACGGGUGAGUAAUGUCUGGGAAACUGCCCGAUGGAGGGGGAUAACUACUGGAAACGGUAGCUAAUACCGCAUACCAUCGGAUGUGCCCAGAUGGGAUUAGCUAGUUGGUGGGGUAACGGCUCACCUAGGCGGCGAUCCCUAGCUGGUCUGAGAGGAUGACCAGCCACCCUGGAACUGAUACACGGUCCAGAGGCCUACGUGAGGCAGCAGUGGGGAAUAUUGCGCAAUGGGGGCAAGCCUGAUGCAGCCAUGCCGCGUGUAUUAAGAAGGCCUUCGGGUUGUAAAGUACUUUCAGCGAGUAGGCGUUACUCGCAGAAGAAGCACCGGCUAACUCCGUGCCAGCAGCCGCGGUAAUAC